rnacentral:rRNA from 1 species
UACAGAGGGGGCAAGCGUUGUUCGGAAUUACUGGGCGUAAAGGGCGCGUAUGCGGCCUGCUAAGUCGAACGUGAAAUCCCCGGGCUCAACCCGGGAACUGCGUCCGAUACUGGAAGGCUUGAAUCCGGGAGAGGGAUGCGGAAUUCCAGGUGUAGCGGUGAAAUGCGUAGAUAUCUGGAGGAACACCGGUGGCGAAGGCGGCAUCCUGGACCGGCAUUGACGCUGAGGCGCGAAAGCCAGGGGAGCAAACGGG